rnacentral:tRNA from 2 species
GGAGUAGUACUCAAGAGGCUGAAGAGGGAUCCCUGCUAAGGAUUUAGGUCGGCGAAUGCUGGCGCGGAGGUUCAAAUCCUCUCUACUCCGCCA